GGUGUUGUGAUGAGGAGGGCCACCAGCAACCUGGUUCCAGUCCUGCAAGGGACAAGGAAGGAGGAAGGAGCCUGCUGGCUACUCAUCCUUUUCCUUAUCGCAUUCGCUCAUUGCUUCUAUCGCACCUGCUGUUCAACCCAUUUGUCAUCAAUUUUGCUUGUCCCUGACAGGCCCAACUGGGCCCAUUUGGGCCAACUGUGACAAAUCAGGGACAGAGUGUGUGCAGUCAUGGCAACAUCUCUGGACACACUCAGCCUCUCCCAGAUGCUGGAUCUCGCCAUUGGGACACCCCAGAAGGGAUCUGUUCACUUUGCAGCCAUGAGAAAACUGCUGCAGGCUGUGCUGGCGCACCUGGACGUGCAGUACCUGACAAGUGAGGAGCCAUGGCCAGGCCAGCUGAGUGGCCCCUCACUUGCUGAUGUGGCCACUCACAUGGAAAAGAUGAAGAAAGAGAUGGAAGACUGCAAGAAACAGAUGUCUGAGCUUGUUCAUGAAGUGAUUGUUGGGAUACAGGCAGAAGUUUCCCACCUCUCAGAGGAUGUUAGGAAGAUGCAGAAGGCCCAGUCCUACAUGUCAGAGGAAAUUAAGAAGAUCCAGGAGGAGGACAUGGCUCUCAUCCAGGAUCUGCGUGAGGAGGUUGACAGGAUAAAAACAACCCAGAUCCGCAUGGAAGGAGACAUAAAGAAGCUUAAGGAGACUCCUGCCCUAAUUAAGAAGAUGGGAGAGGACCUUAAAAAGCUGAGGGAGGAUGCAGCCAAAUGGAAAGAAGAGAGCAGCAAGGAGAUCUCUCAGCAAAUUGAGGCUUUGCGGCAGGAGACAAAGCAUGAGCUGCAGAAGAUGGGAGAGCAGGUGGAGAUGAGGUAUACCAUGCUGGAGCAGGUGGUGAUUGAGACAAUUAACAAAGUCAAUGAGCAGCUUGGUGAUACAGGCGAAACUGGGGACCUAGAGGAUGAGCAGCAAGAGGGGAAUGGAGACUGCUCCAGUUGCACCUUCAACAUCAGAGCGUGCUUGGGGAAGCUCCUCCAGCGCUGUGAGAAACUCCAGGAGCAGGUGGAAUCCAUGGAGUCACGGCAGAUGGCCAUGGGAAAAUGCAACAAAAUGAUGAGGAAAUAUGUCCAGGAGCGGGAGCAAGACCAGAAGCGGCUGCACUACGUGGAGGCUACAGUUGUACAGAUGAAGGGAGACUGUGAGAAGCUCAGCUUUGUUUCUGGGGCCCUGCAGAAAGACUCUGAACAAAAGCAGAAAGAAAUCGAGGAUGCAGCUCCAACCUUACUGCGGUGUAAUGAGUUCCUUUCUGUGCUGAAAGAUGCUGUUCCAGUUUCUGGAGAAACUGCAGAAGGAGAAGGCAGAUCAGCAGGACAUGCUGGCAGCAAUGGACAUGAAGGCGGACAAAGCUGCCUUGGGCAGCAAAGUCAAUUGCAGCCAGUUUGAUGUCACUAUGGAGCGUCUGGAUGAGAGGAUGCAGGAGUUGCAGAGCCAGAUUUCAGGCCAGGAGCAGCACUGGAACAAUACGCAGCAGCAGCUCAGCCUUGUGGAGGAGGAGAAGCUGGAUCGCCUGGAACUGAAGACUUUCCGUAACCAGAUGGAGGAGACCUGGAACAGGAACAUGGAUGAGCUUGAGAAUAGGCUGAGGCGUGAAAACGCUGCUGGGUAUAAGAAGUGAGUGUGAUGGAGA